GAAGAGAAUUGGACCCUGGUGGGGGAGACAGGCAUCUAGAAUGAGCAAGAAAUAAAGGUGGCUGUUAACGGGUCAGCUCCCUUCGCCAAAGGAACUUUUGAUUUACUUACGAAAGUUUUCUUAAGAUUUCUUCAGGACCCAGGUCAGGAGGCUGGGCAAGAGGCCGGGCAGAUCACAGCAUCCAUGCCUCCCUGACCCCCAGGAACCGUGAGUGCUGUCUCCUGAAGGUUCUGGAAGCCCGGGAUCAGCUUACAAGGCACCAGGGCCACCUUGGAGGCUGGAAAUGAAGACCCCAGGCCCCAGAGGUCAUGCAGGCAAGCUGAGGGUCAGGAGAGGGGGAAGAACAUGGGCUGUGUGGCCUUGGGCCAAUUGCUUGCCCUCUCUGGGCCUUCUUAUUGGUGACCAAGCAGACACUUUCUGAGAGCAUCUAUGCAACCUCAGGCUCCUGCACCAAGGCUACAGGGACUUCUGGAGGGGGAAAGAUGAGCGGCAGAGACAAUAGCAGGGCUCCCGUUCCGGGUCUGUUGCAAGGAUUAAGGGUGAUGUCUGCAAAGUGCUUAGUCAGAGCCGGCAUAC